CCUACGGGAGGCAGCAGUGGGGAAUUUUGGACAAUGGGCGCAAGCCUGAUCCAGCAAUGCCGCGUGCAGGAUGAAGGCCUUCGGGUUGUAAACUGCUUUUGUACGGAACGAAACGGCCCUUUCUAAUACAAGGGGUUAAUGACGGUACCGUAAGAAUAAGCACCGGCUAACUACGUGCCAGCAGCCGCGGUAAUACGUAGGGUGCGAGCGUUAAUCGGAAUUACUGGGCGUAAAGCGUGCGCAGGCGGUUAUAUAAGACAGAUGUGAAAUCCCCGGGCUCAACCUGGGACCUGCAUUUGUGACUGUAUAGCUAGAGUACGGUAGAGGGGGAUGGAAUUCCGCGUGUAGCAGUGAAAUGCGUAGAUAUGCGGAGGAACACCGAUGGCGAAGGCAAUCCCCUGGACCUGUACUGACGCUCAUGCACGAAAGCGUGGGGAGCAAACAGGAUUAGAUACCCUGGUAGUCCACGCCCUAAACGAUGUCAACUGGUUGUUGGGUCUUCACUGACUCAGUAACGAAGCUAACGCGUGAAGUUGACCGCCUGGGGAGUACGGCCGCAAGGUUGAAACUUAAAGGAAUUGACGG
rnacentral:rRNA from 1 species